rnacentral:rRNA from 1 species
GUAACUAAUGUUUUGUCUCUACAAGCAAUCGAAUGAAACCAUCGGGUCUAGAGGCGCACGAGUGCAUAACGCGUGGGAAUCUACCCUAUGGGUAAAGAAUAACUCAGAGAAAUAUGUACUAAUACAGUAUAAUGACUUCGGUCCAAAGAUUUAUCGCCCAAGGAUGAACCCGCGUAGGAUUAGCUAGUUGGGGGGGUAAAAGCCUACCAAGGCGACGAUCCUUAGCUGGUCUGAGAGGAUGAUCAGCCACACUGGGACUGAGACACGGCCCAGACUCCUACGGGAGGCAGCAGUGGGGAAUAUUGGACAAUGGGCAAAAGCCUGAUCCAGCAAAGCCGCGGGAGUGAUGAAGGCCUUAGGGUUGUAAAGCUCUUUUACCCGGGAUGAUAAUGACAGUACCGGGAGAAUAAGCUCCGGCUAACUCCGUGCCAGCACCCGCGGUAAUACCGAGGGAGCUAGCGUUGUUAGGAAUUACUGGGCGUAAAGCGCGCGUAGGCGGUUUUUUAAGUCAGAGGUGAAAGCCCGGGGCUCAACCCCGGAACCGCCUUUGAAACUGGAAAACUGGAAUCUUGGAGAGGUCAGGGAAAUUAAGAGGGGAGAGGGUGAAAUUCGUAGAAAUUCGGAAGAACACCAGUGGCGAAGGCGACUGACUGGACAAAUAUUGACGCUGAGGUGCGAAAGAGUGGGGAGCAAACAAGAUUAGAUACCACGGUAGUCCACGCAGCAAACGAUGAUAAAUACCCUGUUCGACUUCAUACUAGAUUGAGUGAACGCAGCUGAAGCACUUAAGCUUAUCCCGCCUGGGGAGUACGGUCGCAAGAUUAAAACUCAAAGGAACAGGCGGGGGCGGGCACAAGCGGGUGGGCAGGUGGACUAAUUAGGGGCGACGGGCCGAACCGUACCGGCGUGACAUCGGUAGACUCGCGAAAAAAAUAAAU